GGCGGGGCCUUUGUCUGUUGCAUCAGCCCGCCAAGCUUCCUCUGUGUUCGCCGCUCUUCCGCCAUUGCUGUGGGGUUGGGGUGGUUCUGCUGCAGCGUCUGUCCUCUAGGGGUUACUGGAAGAUCUCUGUGGAGGAUGGCAGAAUACCCCAGAAGCCAGGAGCUGGGACUGUUGACAUUCAGGGAUGUGGACAUAGAAUUUUCUCCAGAAGAGUAGGCAUGCCUGGGACCUGCUCAGCAGAAUUUGUAUUGGGAUGUGAUGUUAGAGAACUACAGAAACCUGGUCUCCCUGGGUCUUGCUGUCUUUAGGCCAGACCUGAGCACCUGUCUGGAGUAAAGGAAAGGGCUCUGGAAUGUGAAGAGACAUGAAACUGUAGCAGAACACCCAGGUAGGUGGGACUGAAAGAAGCAGAUGACACAGGUGAGGGGACAAGGAGAAAACCAGACUUUAAAUUGUUGUUUGGGCAGUUCUGCUCCAAUGGAAAUGGUUUCUGAGAAGCCUGUGUUUCUUUCUCUUAA